rnacentral:misc_RNA from 1 species
AAGUCGUAACAAGGUUUCCGUAGGUGAACCUGCGGAAGGAUCAUUAACAAAUCAACAAACGCGAUGCAUCCUCAUGAAAAUGAUGAUGCAGAGCAGGGUGAGGGAUAUAUUAUUCCAGGCCUGCUGAGGGCAGCCAGAGUAUGGCCAUCUUUCGCACGCCAGAGUAUGGCUGGCGGCAGGCCAUCGUGCUUCGGCAGGGUGGCAUGGCCAAAUACAAUGCUUAGAUUCACUUCUAAAAAUACAACUUUUAACAAUGGAUCUCUAGGCUCUU